rnacentral:rRNA from 1 species
AUUGAACGCUGGCGGCAGGCCUAACACAUGCAAGUCGAGCGAGCGGCGGACGGGUGAGUAAUGUCUUGGCACCUGCCUGAUGUAGGGGUCUAACUACUGGAACCUGUAGCUAAUGCCUCAUCCCAUCCGCUGUGCCCAGAUGGGAUUAGCUAGUCGGUGGGGUAACGGCUCACCUAGGCGACGCUCCCUCGCUGGUCUGAGAGGAGGACCAGCCACACGGGAACUGAGAAACGGGCCAGACGCCUACGGGAGGCAGCAGUGGGGAAUAUUGGACAAUGGGCGAAAGCCUGAGAAAGCCAUGCCGCGUGUAUGAAGAAGGCAUUCGGGUGGGAAAGUACUGUAAGCGGGGAGGCGUUACCCGAAGAAGAAGCAACGGCUAACUACGUGCCAGCAGCCGCGGUAAUUC